rnacentral:sRNA from 17 species
GUCAACUACCCCGCCCUGAAGGGCGGAGCUUUGGGGAACCGAAGCUAGGUUGACCAGGGGGCCGGAGCGAUCCGGCAGACGUUGGUAACAGGUCGUUCAGACGCACCGGCGAAUAAUGUUUCCUCAGUUCGCCGCUCUGCA